UACGGGGGGGGCAAGCGUUGUUCGGAAUUACUGGGCGUAAAGGGCUCGUAGGUGGCCAACUAAGUCGGACGUGAAAUCCCUCAGCUUAACUGGGGAACUGCGUCCGAUACUGGAUGGCUCGAGUUUGGGAGAGGGAUGCGGAAUUCCAGGUGUAGCGGUGAAAUGCGUAGAUAUCACUUGGAACGCCAAUGGUGAGGACAGCUCGCUGGGGGUGUCCUGACGCUGAGGCGCGAAAGCCAGGGGAGCGAACGGG
rnacentral:rRNA from 1 species